rnacentral:rRNA from 1 species
AUGUUGGUCCAGGCUAAGGCGGAGGAGGCGUCGUUGAUCGUCAAGGCGGGGUGCGGCCCCAAGAGGAAGGCGGAGGAGGACGGCGGCGAGGUCACCGUCAAGGCCAAGGCCAAGACGAAGGAGGAGGCGGCAGCUUUCACCACCGUCAAUGCCAAGUCGGAGGAGGACUCGGACGAAGACGUUGAGUGGGACGAUGACGAGUUCAUGGCCAGGAUCACGGCAGACCACGCCGCCCAUGUCGAGAAGAUGAAGGCUCAGUAUCCCACCAUCAAGUACGGGGACUACGACCCUAAGGUCUACUGCCACCGCCCCGACCCGGAGUCGGAUGCUUGGAAUCUCCAAAAGAAAUGCCUAGGUCUUGCUGAGAUUGCUGCCGGAUUAUUGUUUUUUUUUUGCGAAAACCGGAUUAUUGUAAUUUGA